UACGAAGGGGGCUAGCGUUGUUCGGAAUUACUGGGCGUAAAGCGCGCGUAGGCGGACUGGUCAGUCAGGGGUGAAAUCCCGGGGCUUAACCUCGGAACUGCCUUUGAUACUGCCAGUCUCGAGUCCGGAAGAGGUGAGUGGAAUUCCUAGUGUAGAGGUGAAAUUCGUAGAUAUUAGGAAGAACACCGGUGGCGAAGGCGGCUCACUGGUCCGGUACUGACGCUGAGGCGCGAAAGCGUGGGGAGCAAACAGGAUUAGAUACCCUGGUAGUCCACGCCGUAAACGAUGGAUGCUAGCCGUUGGAUAGCAUGCUAUUCAGUGGCGCAGCUAACGCAUUAAGCAUCCCGCCUGGGGAGUACGGCCGCAAGGUUAAA
rnacentral:rRNA from 1 species